AGCCCUGUUCAGGGGACAGAGAGGGGAGUCUCAUUUAUUCAUUCAGUUACUGAAGCCAGAGUUUAAAGAGUCUUUGUCCUUCAGGGGCUCAAUCUAAUGGGUAAUUCCUUGUCAAGGUGCUAAAACGAGGCUUUAGGACUAUAGACUAUGGGUACCAAGGAGGGCUUCUUGGAGGAGGUGACCUCUGAUCUAAGACCUGAAAGAUUAGUAGGUGUUGGGAAAGAAGAAGAGUGCUCUAAAGAGAAGUUACAGUGUGUGCAAAGGCUUUUAGGAGUCUUAAGAUUAAAACAGGAGCUGGGGACUGGUAAGUGAGGAGCUGGGGUCAGUUGGUGGAGGGCACUGGGGGGUUAUAGAGGGGAAAAGCCCUGCCCUCCUUCCCCAUCCCACCCCCCACUCACCGCAUGGUUCGUCACCACCUCACGCACAAAGUUGAUACCCUCAGGUAGUGGGAUCUGCACCCCACGCCAGGUCCGCUCUGUGGGUGGGAGCACCCGGCUCAGUCUGGGUCUGCCCAGCUCAGCCCUCCUUCCUUCCUCUGUCCUCACUCCCCAGCCUUACCAUUGAGCAUGGGCAUCACUGCUAUCUGCAGCAAGGUCUUCAGAGGGGCCUGUAAUGGGAUCAGCUGGGAGGGGAGGGGGGAAACAGGGCAGCGAGUGGGGGGUGGGCUUGCCUUUACCUGCCCACUCUGACCCCAGCCCAGCCCACCCACCCUUCCCCACUCACAGCCAGCGAUUCCAGUGCAGACUGGUUGGAAUAGAUUCGAAACCUGCGGGAGAGAAAGCCCUGUGGGCAUGAAGCCUGGAAGCUCCCCUUCCUCAGGCCACCAGGCCUACCUGCCAGAGGUGCAUGAGCUGCAGGCUCAGACGCCCCACCCAGGCACCUUUCCAGGUGCUACAACUUUACAGGUGAUGAAGACAAAUGAGAUGCCAGUUAUCAGCACACACAUAUUGAGGACCUUGACAGCUAUUCUCGGAUAACCCUCACAGCAAGCCCAGGAGGAGGUACUGCCAGCCAAGUGAGAAAACAAGCACUUUGCCCAGAGAGAAAUCAGCACUUACCCAAAAUCACAAAGCAAAUCAGCUCCAGAGGCCACAUUUGAACCCAGGACUGUUCAACAGCAGGGCUUGGAAGGGGCCUGCUCUGAGGUGCUGCAUGACAGCUGCACACCUGGCCUCACCCCCCACCAACUCACCAGGAAUGGUGUCCAGGAGGGAGUUGAGCAGGACCGUCCCUGCAUGGUAGAGUACGGGGCAGAUCUGCGAGGUGGGUCAGAGUCAGGGCCUUCUCAAAGUGAGAGCAUGCCCACCCUGGCCACCCCACAACCUGCCACUGCCCACACCUGCUGGUUGAGGAGGAAGCGCAUCCCUGAGGUGAUGAACGUGGAGAGAAACUCAUACACCUUCCUGCGAGGAGAGGAGAGGCCAGGUGAGCCCAGAACCUGCCCCUGCCCCAGUCCAGGUCCAGAUCCAGGAGAAAUCAGUGAGGGAAAUAGUGGCAGUGGGAGUCCUCAGCUUCAGCCUAAAUAAUAGCUCCUCCAUGAAGGUUUUCCAAGAACCAGGCCCAAAUUCCCUCUUCAGCCUGAUCCUCAAGACCUCGCGACCUACUCGCUGCUCCCACCAGCCAAAUGAAUCCACCCGCAGUGCUUCAAACCCGCUCUGAGCAUCCCCACAUCCAUCCCUUCCACCCUCUGCGUUCCUACCCUGUAAUUUCCCAUCUGAACUCAGAUGCUUCCUCUUCCAGGCUGUCUUCCCAGAUUCCUCUCCUCUGAAUCCCCAAAGCACUUUCUUAGUCCCUCUCUCCAGACCCUGACAACAAAUGUUUCUUACUCCAGAUAGACUCUGAGCUCCUUCCUGCAUUCUCAGAGCCUGGCAUAUACUUUGAUGAAUAAAUAAUACUGUCAGUGUACCAGCA